ACGCACGCUGGCGGCGUGCCUAAUACCUGCCAGUCGAACGCACUCUCGUUUAGAUUGACGGAGUUUGCUCCUGAUUGAUAAACAUUUGAGUGAGUGGCGGACGGGUGAGUAACACGUGGGUAACCUGCCCUAAAGUGGGGGAUAACAUUUGGAAACAGAUGCUAAUACCGCAUAAAACCUAACACCGCCUGGUGUAGGGUUGAAAGAUGGUUUCGGCUAUCACUUUAGGAUGGACCCGCGGUGCAUUAGUUAGUUGGUGAGGUAAAGGCUCACCAAGACCGUGAUGCAUAGCCGACCUGAGAGGGUAAUCGGCCACACUGGGACUGAGACACGGCCCAGACUCCUACGGGAGGCAGCAGUAGGGAAUCUUCCACAAUGGACGAAAGUCUGAUGGAGCAACGCCGCGUGAGUGAAGAAGGUUUUCGGAUCGUAAAACUCUGUUGUUGGAGAAGAAUGUAUCUGAUAGUAACUGAUCAGGUAGUGACGGUAUCCAACCAGAAAGCCACGGCUAACUACGUG
rnacentral:rRNA from 1 species